rnacentral:rRNA from 1 species
UACGGAGGGCGCAAGCGUUAUCCGGAUUCACUGGGUUUAAAGGGUGUGUAGGCGGGCUUUUAAGUCAGUGGUGAAAUCUCCGGGCUCAACCUGGAAACUGCCAUUGAUACUAUUAGUCUUGAAUUUUGUUGAGGUAGGCGGAAUAAGUCAUGUAGCGGUGAAAUGCAUAGAUAUGACUUAGAACACCAAUUGCGAAGGCAGCUUGCUAAACAAAUAUUGACGCUGAGGCACGAAAGCGUGGGGAUCAAACAGG